rnacentral:rRNA from 1 species
AUGGGGAUAGCUUUUCCCAUGGUGUUGGUUCUCUCUCUGCUCCUGUACACUAAUGGCAUCUCCAAGAGCUUAGCUGCAAGGCCUCCAGUUGUGAAUAUUGGGUCUAUUCUUCAAUUGAACUCCACCACUGGAGGUGUUGCGGCGAUUGCCAUCAAUGCAGCCUUGGAGGAUAUCAACUCUGAUCCAACAGUUCUAAAUGGAACAACGUUAAAGGUUGAAACCAAGGAUACAAAUUGCUUUGAUGGUUUCCUUGGCAUGGUUCAAGCUUUGCAGUUCAUGGAGACUGAUGUUAUUGCAAUCGUUGGCCCCCAGUGCUCCGCAAUUGCUCAUAUCAUUUCAUAUGUAGCAAAUGAGCUCCGAGUCCCCUUGAUGUCCUUUGCGUCUGAUGCUACUCUUUCAUCGAUACAGUUCCCAUUCUUUGUCAGGACUGCUCCCAGUGAUCUCUAUCAAAUGGCAGCUGUGGCAGCAGUUGUGGACUACAACCACUGGAAGAUAGUGACUGCCAUAUAUGUUGAUGAUGAUUAUGGUCGAAAUGGCAUUGCUGCUUUGGAUGACGCACUCACUGCGAAGCGCUGCAAAAUCUCCUACAAGAUUGGAUUUCCUGCAAAUGCUAAAAAGAGUGAGCUCAUUAAUUUGUUGGUUAGUGUCAGUUAUAUGGAGUCUCGUGUUAUCAUCCUCCAUACUGGUGCUGAACCUGGACUCAAGCUUUUCUCUAUGGCAAACCGGCUAAACAUGAUGGGCAAUGGCUAUGUAUGGAUUGCAACCGACUGGCUUUCUGCAUAUCUUGAUGCUAAUUCAUCAGUUCCUGCUGAGACUAUAUCUGGUAUGCAAGGUGUUCUUACUUUACGGCCACAUAUCCCCAACUCAAAGAUGAAGAGUAAUUUGAUCUCCAAGUGGAGCAGACAAAGUCAGAAGUACAACCAUAGUGAUCUUCGUGUAAAUACUUAUGGUUUUUAUGUUUAUGAUAGUGUAUGGACAGUAGCUCGGGCUCUGGAUGCCUUCUUCGAUGAUGGUGGUAGCAUUUCCUUCUCAAAUGACUCGCGGUUGCGUGAUGCAACUGGGGGAACUCUUCACCUUGAAGCAAUGAGUAUUUUUGACAAGGGAAGGAAAUUAUUGGAGAAGAUUAGAAAGGUAAACUUCACUGGGCCGUCUGGGCACGUGCAAUUCGAUGCUUCAGGUGACCUCAUUCAUCCUGCAUAUGAGAUCAUAAAUGUCAUCGGAAAUGGCAUGCGGACCAUUGGUUUUUGGUCAAACUAUUCUGGCUUGUUGUCAACUGUCCCUCCAGAGGCUCUAUAUUCAAAGCCCCCAAAUACUUCUCUAGCCAAUCAGCAACUCUAUGAUGUUAUUUGGCCUGGGGAGACUGCACAGAGGCCUCGAGGAUGGGUUUUUCCUUCUAAUGCCAAGGAGUUAAAAAUUGGUAUUCCCAACAGAUUCAGCUUCAGGGAGUUUGUCACGAAAGACAAUGUUACCGGGUCAAUGAAGGGUUAUUGCAUCGAUGUCUUUACUCAGGCAUUGGCUUUGCUUCCUUAUCCUGUUACCUACAAGUUCGUACCUUUUGGGAGUGGUACUGAAAAUCCUCAUUAUGACAAACUCAUAGAGAUGGUUGAAUCAAAUGAGCUUGAUGGAGCUGUAGGGGAUAUCGCAGUUACAAUGAAGCGCACAGUAAAUGCUGAUUUCACCCAGCCUUUCAUUGAAACAGGAUUGGUUAUCUUGGCUCCGGUUAAAAGGCAUAUAACAACGUCCUGGGCAUUCUUGCAGCCAUUUACUUUGGAGAUGUGGUGUGUUACAGGGUUGUUCUUUCUUGUUGUGGGUGUGGUUGUUUGGGUUCUUGAACAUCGAAUCAAUGAUGAGUUCCGCGGCUCGCCACGACAACAAAUGAUAACUAUUUUCUGGUUCAGCUUUUCGACUUUGUUCUUUGCACACAGAGAAAAUACUAUGAGCACCUUAGGGCGCGGCGUGUUAAUCAUAUGGCUGUUUGUUGUUUUGAUCAUUCAAUCCAGCUAUACCGCGAGUCUUACUUCCAUCCUGACCGUGCAACAACUUGAUACUUCUAUAAAAGGAAUUGAUGACCUGAAAAAUAGUGAUGCUCCUGUUGGUUUCCAAGUUGGUUCUUUUGCACAAGACUACAUGGUUAAUGAACUGAACAUCUCACGGUCAAGGCUACGAGCUCUCGGUUCCCCAAAAGAAUAUGCUAAAGCCCUCGAGCUUGGCCCUAAGAAAGGAGGUGUUAUGGCCAUCGUUGACGAGCGCCCCUAUGUUGAACUGUUUUUGUCAACUUACUGCAAGAUUGCGGUAGCCGGCUCAGAUUUCACCAGCAGAGGAUGGGGCUUUGCAUUUCCAAGGGACUCCCCGCUGCAAGUGGACCUGUCGACCGCGAUCCUGUCACUGUCAGAGAACGGGGAGCUGCAGCGGAUCCACGACAAGUGGCUCAAGACAGGCGAGUGCGCAGCCGACGAAAGCGAGAUGAUCAACUCGAACCAGCUCCGCCUCGAGAGCUUCUGGGGCCUGUUCCUCAUCUGCGGCGUGGCGUGCGUCAUCUCGCUGCUCAUCUACUUCGGCAUCAUGCUGCGCAAGUACAUGAGGCACGAGCCGAAGAAGAGCCUCCGGAGGUUCAUCUCGUUCGUCGACGACAAGGAGCCGCCGAAGAACCGGAAGAAGCGGUCCAUGAGCCUGCCUGCGAGCUCGACGGCCACCGCGCCGAUGACCGCCCUCGACGUAGAGAGGCCGGCCCGGCCCGUCAGGAACGGCAGCGUCAUCGAUAUAGAAGGCUAG